rnacentral:rRNA from 1 species
CUAAGAGCGUAUGGUGGAUGCCUAGGCGUGCAGAGGCGAUGAAGGACGCGGUAGGCUGCGAUAAGCUCCGGGGAGUGGUCAAACAUGCUUUGAUCCGGAGAUCUCCGAAUGGGGCAACCCGGUUCCACUGAGCAAUCAGAUGGGAUCACCGGCGGCUGAAUGUAUAGGCCGUCUGGGGCGAACCCAGGGAACUGAAACAUCUCAGUACCUGGAGGAAAGGAAAUCAACCGAGACUCCGUGAGUAGCGGCGAGCGAAAGCGGAACAGCCCAUGAGUCGUUGCAAGCUCAGCCGAACGUUCUGGAAAGGGCGACCACAGUAGGUGACAGUCCUGUAGGCACACGGCGAGCGACGGCGAUUGAGUAGGUCGGAUGUCGUGGAACUCUGACUGAAGAUGCGGGGCCCACCCUGCAAGGCUAAGUACUCCUGCACGACCGAUAGUGAACGAGUAAGGCGACUGAAAGGUGAAAAGCACCCCUGCUAGGGGAGUCAAAAGCACCUGAAACCAUAUGCUUACAAGCUGUCGAAGGCCGAUUCCGGGCUUGCCCGGACGGCUAACGGCGUACCUCUUGGAUAAUGGACCGGCGACUUGUCGUAUGCGGCGAGGUUAAGUGCCUCCGGCACGCAGCCGAAGCGAAAGCGAGUCUGAAUAGGGCGAUUAGUCGCAUGCGACAGACCCGAAACCACGUGAUCUACCCAUGGCCAGGUUGAAGGGACGGUAAAACGUCCUGGAGGACCGAAGCCGUGAACGUUGAAAAGUUCUGGCAUGAGCUGUGGGGAGGAGUAAAAGUCUAAUCAAACGUGGAGAUAUCUGGUUCUCCCCGAAAUGUCUUUUGGGACAGCCUCGGGACAACUACACCGCGGGGGUAGAGCUACUGACUGAAACGGCGGGCCUUUCCGGCUACGCCCUUCAAUCAAACUCCGAAUACCGCGGUGACUAUCCCGGGAGUGAGAGUGUGGGCGCUAAUGUUCAUGCUCAAAAGGGAAAAAACCCGAACCGUCAGCUAAGGCCCCCAAGCCACGCUCAGUGCGUAAGGAAGUUCGUUUUCUGAGACAGCCAGGAUGUUGGCUUAGAAGCAGCCACCAUUUAAAAAGUGCGUAAUAGCUUACUGGNNAGUGAGAAUGCCGGUAUGAGUAACGAUAAAGCGGGUGAGAAUCCCGCUCGCCGUAAGCCCAAGGUUUCCUGGGCAAGGGAAAUCCGCCCAGGGUUAGUCGGACCCUUAGUCAAGGCCGAAAGGCGUAGACGAUGGUCAGCAGGUUAAUAUUCCUGCACUCCGUAUGCGGUUGAACCGACGGGGACGUCAGCCCCAAGUGUGGCCCACUACUAGAAUAGAGGGUACCCGCAAGGGCGAGGCCGCUUUGUUGCUGAAGCACAUGGCGGGCUGACCGAGAAAAUCCGUUCGGUGACAAAGUGCGGAUCCGUACCAAAACCGACACAGGUGGGCGAGGAGAGUAUCCUAACGGCGCUCGAGAGAACGGUCCUUAAGGAACUAGGCAAUUUGACCCCGUAACCUCGGAAAAAGGGGAGCCUCUCCGCCGCAAGGCGGAAGGCCGCAGAGAAUCGGCUCUGGGAACUGUUUAUCAAAAACACAGCUCUGUGCUAACUCGUAAAGAGGACGUAUACAGAGCGACGCGUGCUCGGUGCCGGAAGGUUAAGGAAGCCGGUCAGCCGCAAGGCGAAGCUGGCAACCGAAGCCCCGGUUAACGGCGGCCGUAACUAUGACGGUCCUAAGGUAGCGAAAUUCCUUGUCGGGUAAGUUCCGACGUGCAUGAACCGCGUAAUCACUGGAGCAGUGUCUCAAGGACCGACUCGGUGAAAUUGAAGUCGCGGUGAAGAUACCGUGUACCCGCAGCAAGACGGAAAGACCCCGUGAACCUUUACUGCAGCCUGGUAUUGGUAAUUGAUAUCGCAUGCGUAGGAUAGGUGGGAGGCGUUGAUCCGGCGGUUCCGGCCGUCGGGGAGCCAACGUUGAAAUACCACCCUUGUGCUAUUAGUUACCUCACCCCGUCCCGUGAAGCCGGGCGGGGGACAGUGCUAGGUGGGCAGUUUGACUGGGGCGGUCUCCUCCCAAAAAGUAACGGAGGAGUGCAAAGGUCGGCUCAGCACGGUUGGCAAUCGUGCGUGGAGCGCAAGGGCACAAGCCGGCUUAACUGUGAGAGAUAAAGCUCGAACAGAUGCGAAAGCAGGCCCUAGUGAUCCGGUGAUCCCGUGUGGAAGGGUCAUCGCUCAACUGAUAAAAGGUACUCCGGGGAUAACAGGCUGAUGACUACCGAGCGUCCAUAGCGGCGUAGUCGUUUGGCACCUCGAUGUCGGCCCAUCACAUCCUGGGGCUGUAGGCGGUCCCAAGGGUUCGGCUGUUCGCCGAUUAAAGUGGUACGCGAGCUGGGUUCAGACCGGCGUGAGCCAGGUCGGUCCCUAUCUGCCGUGGGCGCAGGAAUCUUGAUGGAAAUAUUUCCUUAGUACGAGAGGAUUAGGAAGUACUGACCGCUGGUGUACCGGCUGUCCUGCUAAGGGCACCGCCGGGUAGCUAUGUCGGGAAAGGAUAACCGCUGAAAGCANNGACCACCAGGUUGAUAGGCCGGGAGUGUACGGGCUGAGAGGCCCUCAGCUUACCGGUACUAACGGUCGAAGGCUUGACC